GCAGUCUGCUAAUGUACUCUCUAAAAAUUUCAGAAACUUCAUCAAACGAUUAACUAGCAAAUCCUCAUCUGAUUGGAACAGUAAAAUUGUUCAGCAUCCCAGACAAAGUGAUGGCCACAACUGCGGACCACUCAUCUUAAAGAAAGCGUGGAGGACUAGUGCAUAUACUACAACCUUAUCAACUGUGAAAAAGAAAGUGAGGAUUGCACGAUGGAGCCAUGGCCUCGGCUGCUGCCACCAGCGACCUUCUGAAAAGCCUGCCACCAGCGACCUUCUGAAAAGCCUCCGGGACACAGUAAAUUGCUCAGUCUGCCAGGAUAUUUUUAAAGAUCCAGUGACCCUGGACUGUGGGCACAAUUUCUGCCACUCCUGCAUCGCCCAGCGCUGGGAGGGAUUGAAGAGAGACUUCCCCUGCCCUCAGUGCAGGAAAAGGUUUCGGAAGGGAAAUAUCCGGCCUAAUCCCCAGCUGGAAGCAAUAGCCAAGCAAGUCAGGCCUAACCCCCAGCAGGAAGAAAUAGCCAAGCAAGUCAGCGCUCCCGCUGUGAAAGGGUGAGAGGGAGAGAAACUGUGUGAGGAACACAAGAAACCCUUAAGCUGUACUGUGAGCAUCAUAACAAACUCAUUUGUGAGGACUGUGAUAUAUCCUUUGAGCACCGCUACCAUGACGUGCUUCCCGUAGAGGAUGUGGUCCAGUCAUCGAAGGUGGGAAAUCUGAGAGUCAUUCGUGUUAGAUUAAGUGAAAUGGCAGUGAUAAAACCCCACGAUAAGCCGCCCUCCUCCUCCUGCUUCGGAGAAAGUGUCGGUCUAGCCUCAGGACUUCCAGAUCCCAAGGGAGACAGAGGCUGUCCAACAAGAAGAGCCCUCGACUGACCCGCUUGUCCCAGGUCUCUCCUCAUCCUCCUCCCCUGACAAGGCGGUAGCCGGAACGUCGUCUGUAGGCCCUCCACCAAUCGACCUGAGGGCCCACCAGGAACUCCUCCGGCAUGUGGCACAGAAUAUGAACUUGCAAGUCGAGGAGGUCCCGGAGGUAGAGGACCCAGUGGUGGACAUCUUAUCAUCUGAUGCCCCCACGAGAGUGGCCCUCCCCUUUAUACGGACAAUCCAGGCCAACGCCAACACGAUCUGGCAGUCUCCGGCCUCUGUCCCACCUGCUGCCCGCAGAGUGGAACAUAAACAUACGGUGCCUCCCAAGGGCUAUGAAUACUUAUACGUCCAUCCCCCUCCUUGCUCCCUCGUUGUCCAGUCGGUCAACGAGAGCGCGCGCCAUGGCCAGCAGGCUCCAGCCCCGAAAUCAAAAGACGCGAGGCGCAUGGACUUGCUGGUGCGCAAAGUCUAUUCUGCAGGGGCACUCCAACUCCGCGUGGCUAAUCAACAAGCCCUCCUUAGACGCUACAACUAUAAUACCUGGGCAGCGGCGGACAAAUUCAAGGAAUUGCUCCCGCAGGACUCCUGACAGGAAUUUGCGGCCAUCCUGGACGAGGGAAAAAGGGUCGCUAGAACUUCCCUCCAGGCUUCCCUGGACGCCGCGGACUCAGCGGCCAGGACCCUAGCCUCCGGGGUUACUAUGAGGCGUAUCUCAUGGCUGCAAGUCUCAGGCCUCCCCACGGCGCUCCAACACAAAAUCCAGGACCUCCCCUUUGAAGGGCAAGGCCUGUUGUCUGAUAAGACAGACCCUAGGCUGCAAAGCCUAAAAGAUAACAGGGUCAUUAGGCGCUCACUAGGCAUGCACACGCCAGUGACUCAGUGCAGGCCCUUCCGCCCCCAGCCACACCGCUCUUACCCUCAGCCCAGACAGAGACAGGACUUUGCCAGAAGGCGGAGUAGAACCGGUCACCGGAGGCAGUCAAGCAACCAAGGGGGCAGAACCAAGGUUCCUCCAAACCUUCCACAGGGCCAAAACCCUCCUUUUGAAGGUGCGCCCGAGGGCAUCAUACCAGUAUCAUCACAGGAUCCGUUCCCUCCUUUCUCCAACCGCCUCUCCUUUUUCCUCCCUGCGUGGUCCCAGCUAACGUCAGAUCGCUGGGUCUUACGCAAGCUGGAAUUUGAGUACCACCUCCAAUUUAUUUCGUGCCCCCCCUUCCACCCCCCUUCCUCCUCCCUCUUGCAGAAACAUAUUUGCAGCACAAAGACAUCAAUACGGUAGAAACAACACAAGAGGCUAAUACUACGUUUAGAAGACAUAUAGCAAUUCUUCUAAUGAAGGAGUCAGGUAAUUACUUUCUACCAUGUCUUGUGGACUCAUUAGGCACAUGUGAAGAUAACAUGAAGAGUGGAAUUCUGUCACAUA